ACGUAGGUGGCAAGCGUUGUCCGGAUUUACUGGGCGUAAAGAGCGCGCAGGCGGUCGUUUAAGUCGAAUGUGAAAGCCCCCGGCUCAACUGGGGAGGGUCAUUCGAUACUGAUCGACUUGAAGGCAGGAGAGGGAAGUGGAAUUCCGGGUGUAGUGGUGAAAUGCGUAGAUAUCCGGAGGAACACCAGUGGCGAAGGCGACUUCCUGGCCUGUUCUUGACGCUGAGGCGCGAAAGCUGGGGGAGCAAACGGGA
rnacentral:rRNA from 1 species